GCUCAUUUAACUGGUGGAUUCGCUCGCGUCUGUUUCCUCCGACCCGUCUAACCGUUGUGCAGCUGGCGCAUAUGUGGGCAGACGAUGAUUUCGUUUCGUGGAGUUCGAAGACGUUCAAGCCAUCGCCGAACGCCGGAAUGCAACACACCGAUAGCUGUUCGUGGCCCUGCAAUCCCGAAGUAUGUACGCCCUGUCACAUGAAAACGCUACAGUUGUGCUAGGAUGAAGAGAAUGGCUCAUGCGCCUCAUUACGUGCUAUGUGCAUAAUGAUAUGUACUUUCAUUCAAAUGUUGCUUCUUGUUUACCUUGUCAAUAAAUUUGUACAUGUGCA